GAUGAACGCUGGCGGCGUGCCUAAUACAUGCAAGUCGAGCGAACAGAUGAGGAGCUUGCUCCUCUGACGUUAGCGGCGGACGGGUGAGUAACACGUGGAUAACCUACCUAUAAGACUGGGAUAACUUCGGGAAACCGGAGCUAAUACCGGAUAAUAUAUUGAACCGCAUGGUUCAAUAGUGAAAGACGGUUUUGCUGUCACUUAUAGAUGGAUCCGCGCCGCAUUAGCUAGUUGGUAAGGUAACGGCUUACCAAGGCAACGAUGCGUAGCCGACCUGAGAGGGUGAUCGGCCACACUGGAACUGAGACACGGUCCAGACUCCUACGGGAGGCAGCAGUAGGGAAUCUUCCGCAAUGGGCGAAAGCCUGACGGAGCAACGCCGCGUGAGUGAUGAAGGUCUUCGGAUCGUAAAACUCUGUUAUUAAGGAAGAACAAAUGUGUAAGUAACUAUGCACGCCUUGACGGUACCUAAUCAGAAAGCCACGGCUAACUACGUG
rnacentral:rRNA from 1 species